UUUACCUACGGGAGGCAGCAGUGGGGGAUAUUGCACAAUGGGGGAAACCCUGAUGCAGCGACGCCGCGUGGGCGAAGAAGUAUUUCGGUAUGUAAAGCCCUAUCAGCAGGGAAGAAGAAAUGACGGUACCUGAGUAAUAAGCACCGGCUAAAUACGUGCCUGCAGCCGCGGUAAUACGUAUGGUGCAAGCGUUAUCCGGAUUUACUGGCUGUAAAGGGAGCGCAGUCGGCACGGCAAGCCUGAUGUGAAAGCCCGCGGCCCAACCGCGGGACUGCAUUGGCAACUACCGGGCUGGAGUGCCGGAG
rnacentral:rRNA from 1 species